GACAGAGGGGGCAAACGUUGUUCGGAAUUACUGGGCGUAAAGCGCGUGUAGGCAGUUUCGCAAGUCGGGUGUGAAAGCCCUGGGCUCAACCUAGGAAGUGCACUCGAAACUGCGAGACUUGAGUCCUGGAGAGGAAGGCGGAAUUCUCGGUGUAGAGGUGAAAUUCGUAGAUAUCGAGAGGAACACCGGUGGCGAAGGCGGCCUUCUGGACAGUGACUGACGCUGAGACGCGAAAGCGUGGGGAGCAAACAGG
rnacentral:rRNA from 1 species